rnacentral:rRNA from 1 species
AGAAUCAACGCUGGCGGCGUGCCUAACACAUGCAAGUCGCACGAGAAAGGGGAGCAAUCCCUAAGUAAAGUGGCGCACGGGUGAGUAACACGUGAAUCAUCUACCUCCGAGUGGGGAAUAACCUAGAGAAAUCUGGGCUAAUACCGCAUAACACUUACGAGUCAAAGCAGCAAUGCGCUUGGAGAGGAGUUCGCGGCCGAUUAGCUAGUUGGCGGGGUAAUGGCCCACCAAGGCGAUGAUCGGUAUCCGGCCUGAGAGGGCGCACGGACACACUGGAACUGAAACACGGUCCAGACUCCUACGGGAGGCAGCAGUGGGGAAUUUUGCGCAAUGGGGGAAACCCUGACGCAGCAACGCCGCGUGGAGGAUGAAGUAUCUUGGUACGUAAACUCCUUUCGAUGGGGAAGAUAAUGACGGUACCCAUAGAAGAACGCCCCGGCUAACUUCGCGCCAGCAGCCGC